CUGGGGCGCACGCCGGGCCACUCGGGGCCGCGCCGGGCGGUAGAGUGACGUUGCGGGGACCGCCCCCGCGCCCUGUGCGAGUCGUGACGCCCGGGCAUCGGCUCCAUCUCCCCUAGACUGUGCCCGGCUGUGGGACGGGAGCCGCAGGGACUGCGCCUUCUCCGGCCCCCGCCCCCGCGCUCCGUCGCCGAGGUCCCCGAAGGCGGCGGCCCGAGCCUUGCGAGCACUUACACCGUCGUCUAGCGAGGCUCGGAGCGCGACAAGCAGCUGCAGGCGACCCCGCCCAGGCUAAGCCUUCGGGACCCGCACUGGUCACCCGCCUCUCAGGGUCCCGCUUGGCCCACCCGGUCCCCCGGUGGUGGCAGGGGCGGCAGCACGGAUGAAUCCGGCGCAGGGCUGUGUGACCUUUGAGGAUGUGUUCGUGUACUUCUCCCGGGAGGAGUGGGAGCUCCUUGAGGAGGCUCAGAGACUCCUGUACCGUGAUGUGAUGCUGGAGAACUUUGCACUUGUGUCCUCACUGGGACUUGCAGUUUCCAGGACCCAUGUUGUUUCCCAAAUGCAGCCGGAGGGGAACGCAGGGUGCCUGAGAAGGUAGACGCAGUGGCAACUACAGCAGAGAAGACCUGAAGGAGGCCCGGCCCCGGUGAGUGGAAGCCACAGGAAUGGUCGCAUCAGGGCUGGCUUCGCCUUCUACCAGCAACCUGUGCUGUCUCUCCUAGCGUUCUGAUGCCACAACCAGCGGCUGACUUCAUCCCACUUUUUCUUCCCCGUUUGUGACACUUUGCCCACUUAUCACUUUUACUCUGUCCUCAGUCACCUGUUGGUCCCCCGCCCUUCCCAUCUCCACACCUUUUCCCCUCUUGGUGCUCCAUGCAGUGCUUUGCGGCAUUGGCUCUUUUUUAACAGGUCGUGAGUUGUGCUCAUAUCCUUCAAUUUUCCUUGAAAACAAAGUAUUCCAUUCCAACCAGAAUUUUCUGGCCCGGGACAGACCCUUUUGCACAGCACUCACCGUCACAAGGAACAAGGCCUUGCCGGACGACCACUGGCAGGGGAGUGGCUUGGAGCCCCUGCCUCUCCUUAUCCUAUACUCCAUCCAUCCUUGUCCCCUCUCUCUGUGUGGUCUCCUUCAUUCUCUGACCUUUAGAGACCCGCGGCACACAGCUGCCCUUCCUGAUCCUGAUUCUGGCUCCCCUGUCGUGCCAGCGGCCCCAUGGACUACUUCCUGGUUGCAUCAGACACACAUUUGUUAUGGGGUGCCACAGGCCACCAAUUAAACCUGCACUUCACCGGCAUUUAUCUUCCAUCAGGCUGUCGGCAUGCAGUGAAGGAUGAGGCUGCACCUUCUGAUGCUCCCCAUCAGUGGGUGUCACAGAUGAGAACUCCCCAGGCAGGUCCUUCCCCCCGAAAGGCUCACCCCUGUGACACAUGUGGCCCAUUCUUGACAGACAUCUUUGCACCUGGCUGAGCCACAGGGAACACCAUCUGGGCAACACGGCAACACCAGCGCAAGAGUCCCUGUAGGAGAGACUUCUGGGUAGUAUAAAUCUUGACCAGAUGCAGAAGCGGUGGAGUGGAGAAAAUUUUUUUAGAAAGUAAGGAGCCUGGCCUGAUUUGUGAAGGUCAGCAGAUGCCAUGGGGCCAAGAAGGCCCUUACCUGCAGGGAGGGUGGGAGGAACUCUGUGGUCAGCUGUGGACUUAUCCAGCACCAGGCCCUUCACGGUGGGGAGAAACCACACUGGGCCCUGAGC